rnacentral:SRP_RNA from 1 species
GCUGGGUGCGGUGGCAUGUGCCUGUAGUCCCGGCUACUCGGGAGGCUGUGAUGGGAGGAUUGCUUGAGCCCAGGAGUUCUGGGCUGUAGUGCACUAUGCCGAUCAGGUGUCCGCACCAAGCUCAGCAUCAAUAUGGUGACCUCCCGGGACUGGGGGACCACCAGGUUGCCUAAGGAGGGGUGAACUGGCCCAGCUCGGAAACGGAGCAGGUCAAAACUCCCGUGCUGAUCAGUAGUAGGAUCGCGCCUGUGAAUAGCCAAUGCACUCCAGCCUGGACAACAGAGAGAGACCCCGUCUCA